rnacentral:rRNA from 1 species
UCUUCGGAUGGAAUUGAUAAGUUCUAGCGGCGGACGGGUGAGUAACGCGUGAGCAACCUGCCCUCCACAGGGGGAUAACGCACCGAAAGGUGCACUAAUACCGCAUAAGACCACGUUUCUGACAUGGGAAUGAGGUCAAAGGAGCAAUCCGGUGGAAGAUGGGCUCGCGUCUGAUUAGCUAGUUGGUGAGGUAACGGCCCACCAAGGCGACGAUCAGUAGCCGACCUGAGAGGGUGAUCGGCCACAUUGGAACUGAGAGACGGUCCAAACUCC